rnacentral:rRNA from 1 species
AUGCCGCCGCGGCCAAGUUCGCCGCCCAACGCGAUGCGAUGGAGGCCGCGUGGCACAAGGCCGCGGUCGACGAGAAGGAGGACAUCAUCAACAAAGCGCACACCCUCCUCAUGCUUGGCAUGGGCCGUCGGCCCGGCGAGCACAAACUCGUCGGUCGCCCGGCCUCCGCACUGCCAGUCACCGACGUCGCGGACCACGCCCAUGUCGCCCGACUUUCCUCUGCCAAGGCACGACGGCCAGACCCGUUUCUCGGGGUCGCCGGACGUCGGCUUGUUCGCGCCGUCCACACUGCGCCCCGCGGCCAUCAUCGACCUCAACGUCACGCCUGGGUCCAACAGCGGCGGCCGGCCGGCCGUCGAGAUGCAAAGGAAGCAAGCACGGGCACCGUUCACGGGCACCAUGCCGGCCCCUCGCAUCUUGUUUGGCGGAAUGCCAACACCAACGCCAACGGUUGACGACCCCUUCUACAACCAGUACAUGGAGGACGUGAUCUUCGAGGGUGGGCAUGGUCGUGCCUACGACCCCGAGGAGACCCAAAGUCAGGAUGGCCGCGCCCAGUACGUGCCCGAUGAAGAGGCUGACGACCGUGCUGACUACGACCAUGGUGACUCGUGGCAUGAAGACGAUGACAUGUAUGUCGAAGGUGACGGUGAUGAAAAAGAAGGCAAUGACGUUGAUAUUAGUGACGAGCCAUUGUUCAUCGACGAGCUCACCCAAAGAGCGGAAGCACAAAAGAAGAGGAAGAGCAUUCGCACGGGUUCAUAUACACAAGAUGAGGACAAAGUUGAUUUGCCAAGCUUGGAUGGAGAUUAG